rnacentral:rRNA from 1 species
AAAAAUGAAUUGCUUAAUUGCACCACAUGUGUUUUUCUUUGAAACAAACUUGCUUUGGCGGUGGGCCCAGCCUGCCGCCAGAGGUCUAAACUUACAACCAAUUUUUUAUCAACUUGUCACACCAGAUUAUUACUAAUAGUCAAAACUUUCAACAACGGAUCUCUUGGUUCUCGCAUCGAUGAAGAACGCAGCGAAAUGCGAUACGUAAUAUGAAUUGCAGAUAUUCGUGAAUCAUCGAAUCUUUGAACGCACAUUGCGCCCUCUGGUAUUCCGGAGGGCAUGCCUGUUUGAGCGUCGUUUCUCCCUCAAACCGCUGGGUUUGGUGUUGAGCAAUACGACUUGGGUUUGCUUGAAAGACGGUAGUGGUAAGGCGGGAUCGCUUUGACAAUGGCUUAGGUCUAACCAAAAACAUUGCUUGCGGCGGUAACGUCCACCACGUAUAUCUUCAAACUUUGACCUCAAAUCAGGUAGGACUACCCGCUGAACUUAAGCAUAUCAAUAAGCGGAGGAA